UACGGAGGAUGCGAGCGUUAUCCGGAUUUAUUGGGUUUAAAGGGUGCGUAGGUUGUUUUUUAAGUCAGCGGUGAAAGUCUGUGGCUCAACCAUAGAAUUGCCGUUGAAACUGGGGGGCUUGAGUAUGUUUGAGGCAGGCGGAAUGCGCGGUGUAGCGGUGAAAUGCAUAGAUAUCGCGCAGAACUCCGAUUGCGAAGGCAGCAUGCCGGCUCCACACUGACGCUGAGGCACGAAAGCGUGGGGAGCAAAUAGG
rnacentral:rRNA from 1 species